CCGAGUUUACAACUCCCAAACCCAAUGUGAACGUUACCAAACUGUUGCCUCGGCGGGGUCACGCCCCGGGUGUGUAAAAGCCCCGGAACCAGGCGCCCGCCGGAGGAACCAACCAAACUCUUUCUGUAGUCCCCUCGCGGACGUAUUUCUUACAGCUCUGAGCAAAAAUUCAAAAUGAAUCA
rnacentral:misc_RNA from 1 species